CCAGACUCCUACGGGAGGCAGCAGUGGGGAAUAUUGCACAAUGGGGGGAACCCUGAUGCAGCGACGCCGCGUGGGUGAAGGAGUACUUCGGUACGUAAAGCCCUAUCAGCAGGAAAGAAAAUGACGGUACCUGACUAAGAAGCCCCGGCUAACUACGUGCCAGCAGCCGCGGUAAUACGUAGGGGGCAAACGUUAUCCGGAUUUACUGGGUGUAAAGGGAGCGUAGACGGCAGUGCAAGUCCGGAGUGAAAGCCCGUGGCUCAACCACGGGACUGCUUUGGAAACUGUGUUGCUGGAGUGCAAGAGGGGUAAGCGGAAUUCCUAGUGUAGCGGUGAAAUGCGUAGAUAUUAGGAGGAACACCGGUGGCGAAGGCGGCUUACUGGACUGUAACUGACGUUGAGGCUCGAAGGCGUGGGAAGCAAACAGGAUUAGAUACCCCCGUA
rnacentral:rRNA from 1 species